UAGACGAGCCACUUCAACAACGUACUAACUACCUUGCUGGAAAUGGAAAUGCUGUCUCCAAAGGCAUGAGAAAGAGGGGAGCAGUUUCACCAGUGGAGGCGGGGAACGCCAGAGAGGCACAAAAAGACUCUGUGAAGCAACAGUCACUCCCAUGCAGGACUGCUAAAGAGAGAACAGCCUCGCAGGCAGAGAAACUAAAGCGAGGCGCACAGUCAAACGGCAAAGCAGACAACUACUCUGCAACCAAAAACCACAAAACGAGAAGAGCAAGAAACUUGAGGACCAAAGAAGAGAACGAUUUAAGAGAAGCAUGAAAGGGAUUUUGUGCCAUCUCACUUUUCCUCCACUCCACAUGCAGAGUAUCAUCAGUACCUGAGGAAUUAUCACUCCUAACCUUAAUCUCAACCUGACUGCUUAUCUCCGUCUGUUAGUCUCCACCUCUGAGUGACGUACUGCACAUUUUAACAACAGACUGACAUAUAUAAAACACACUCAGCAGGUUAACUCCUUCAGGGGGAGGCAUGUUCAUGUUCAUCACUGCCUCCUCCUCAUCAAGUGGUCGGCUUACUUCGGUUCCGUAACUUUUGCAGGUCAGCUUGGGCUGGGCUGAGCGUGUGAAAACAACAACCGAGACUCUCAUAGGAUGGAUGUCAGAGAGGAGACGCUGAACACCCUGAACAGGAUCUGGGUCAAGCUGCAGGGUCUGCCCAACGCCGACCCCAUAGAGCUGGGAGCUUUCUUUGUCAUCUUAACCUUCAUCUUGGUGGUCCUGCUCAUGACAGCGCUGGCGUGCAUGACCUGCUGCUGCUGCUGCUGCCGUCGCAAAACCAAGACGAGGGGAUCGAUCAUUUGAGCAAAUGUGCUCCACACAAGGAAACAUGACAGGAGACAGAAACACAACAUCGAGCUUUCUCUCUCAAGCAUAAUGUCAUGGCCAUAUACUUAAUAGAUUAUACAGCCUGAUACAGGGUGUGUUUAGUGGCACUGAAGGAGCCUUGCCCUUGAACAAACAAAACACCUGACAAACACAGAGAUGGCUGUCCUGACAAACACACCUGCUAAAGCUUUCAGGUUUUCAGGACGCUCUACAAUCCUUGGAGCAUCCCUGCGCUUUACAGGGCAACAACAUCAGGAAACCCAAAGUGACUUGCAUAAUGCAUAUAAAUAUAAAUAAUAAAUGGAAUAUGAGCUACAAAGAUGUGUAGAAUAAUUUUUUAAAAAUUGCAGUGAGUUGCACAGUGAGAUAUGAAGGGGAGAGCCAAAUUGGUUUGUUUAUGUUUUUUUUCUAAACCUAACUAUGUGUCAUUCUUAAGGAACGAUAAUUGGCAUUCAGUGUUAGGUAAGAUCCUUCUAGGGGGAAGUACUUAUGUUGUGACAUAAGUCACAACAAAGCAUAAAACAGAGAUCAAGUCUGCCCUCUGCUGUACACAAACCAGAAUGAACUAUGAUUUAAUUUUUAAAAAAGGUACAGCAUGCAUGUAAUGACAGUUAUGUUCUAAUGUAUAAAGCUGCAUGUGUAUAUUAUGUGCAAGGGGGGAGACAUUAUGUAAUGAUGCGAUACUUUGAUUACACUUUUGUAUGCAAUAAACAAAAUGGGACUUGCA